rnacentral:lncRNA from 1 species
CUAGAUGGCUAGACGUCAGAACACCCGGCUGUAUCCAUAGCAACGACAGCUUCCAAAGGCAGCACACGUCGAACUCAUAAGUUGCCGGCGGCAGGCGGUUUUGGUUUGUUCCUGUGUUCCGCAGUCCAGCAAAAACUUUGCCGAGUGGGAAGGACGAUCAGUCCGCGAUUAGUGACUCGUUAUCGGGCUACGAACUCGAAAAUUUUCAAACAUAAAAAAACUUUAGAUUGUGUUUUUCUGUUAAGGCGGGAUGUCACCAAAAGUCACGUGUUUGCGAGAAGUUUCGUACGGCUGCUGUGCUGGAUGGAAAUGAAAUUAACAGAGUUAAAUGAUACACGAGAUGGUUUGCUGCAAUUACCAUUAACGUAAG